CGCUACAGAGGAGCCGGGAACGGCCGUCGUGGGCGGGGCCGUGGAGGGAAGGAGCGCAUGUGCAGACUAGAGGCUGAAGGCCGCGGCGCCAUCUUUGAUAUUGGCCUAGUCCUCUUCGUCUCUUCAGCGUUACGAAAUAGGUGCUGUGGGCGCCAUGUUAGCUUGGGGCAAAGGCGACCUAAUCUCGGGAUUGGCGGUCGAAGUCCUGAUGGCCGGUGUUUAAAUGGGACGGUUCUAUCUAUUCUGUCCUGUAGGGUCGCUACGAGUCGGAAUGGGACGGUUCUAUCUAUUCUGUCCUGUAGGGUCGCUACGAGUCGGAAUGACCGGAGGGGACACAACAGGUGGAGUCAAAUCCACAAGGUCUCACUCGAAGUACAGAUGACUUCUGGAUACUUGAGGUGACGGUUCUCUUCUACGUAAAGAGACAAAUGCACAUUGAAAUUACUUCGGUAUCAUCUUUCACACCUCGAAACCGAAGAUGGACAGUUUUGUAACAGUGAGAGCUCUUGGCGAGAGGAGGCACCUACGGUGUCAGUCGGAGUCUAACUCAGUCCCACCUCUUUGAGGUAGACUUUGCAAUAUCUUUCCGUUUUAAGUGCAGGCACAUUUCCUUUGACUCAGCAGUUCCGCCUCUUGGGAUCUAGCGGCUUUCCCGUGUGUGCGCCGAAGGAGAAGGAGAGAUGAGCAAAAAGUUAAGUGACCAUCCUUUAGGCACAUCCAGCGGUUCCAAGGACCCAAGUAGAUGUCUGCGCUGGUGAACGUCUUCAAAAUGAAGUUAAACAAUGUGAAAUGGAAACCUAUUGGUGUAAAUCAAGCUAUGUAUAUGCACCUGUGUAUACAAGGUGUUCCUUUCUGGCCUAAGGAAAAUAAUGUAGCAUUUGGGGACAAAAACGCAUCCUAGUAAUCUGGCACCUGAGGCCACAAUGUCGACGACCUCAAUAGUGAGUGUGAUCUUCCCUUUGGAGCUCUGGUACACAGGGAGGAAGGUGACCCAGAUGCUGCAUAGUGUCAGCAUGCUGAAGGUUUGGGACUGGGCUUCACUGAAGGUGAUGGGCAGCCUUCUGGCAAAAAAAAUGCCACAGUGAAGCUCCCCAGAGCCAAGAAGCACAGAUAGCCUAGCACACACUUGAACUCUGUGACAGAGGCAGUCCUCCUUGCAUUCAAGGAUGAUGUGGUGAGGCUCAGAGAGAAUGUUUAUAUUAAUGAACAGGGGCGAUGUUCCCAGCCAGAUUCCACACAGAGUCACUUGGAUUGUAGAGCAAGUAGGAAUGACAGUUAGAGAUCCCUGAUGUGAACCACAACCUCAUCCUGCUCCCAGGCAUUGUGGAUUUGAAGGCCAAAGACACAGAGAUAGUUUUAGCCAAGACGGUGGAAACAGCCACAAUCAACAUGAUUCCAAAUGUGAUUUGAUGGAGGAUGUAGGUGGCUGUGUUGGGGCAGCCAAUGAAUAGUAAGGAGCAGAGGAAGCACAGGAGGAGGGAGAUGAAGAGGGUGUAGCUGAGAGCCCAGUUGUUGGUUUUCACUAUGGGGGUGUCCUGUGCUUCACAAAGACCCCAAGUACUACAGCUGUGAGGGUGGAGAAGCAGAGGGCGGUACAGGAGAGAUGACCCUAUAGAGUCCUCAAAGCUCAGGAAGUUCAGAGCCUUUGGAAGACAGGGAUCUGUGCCACUGUUUGGAUACUGAUGGUUGGGGCAUUUCACACACUUCUUCAUAUCUGUCAAAAAAAGCAACCUCAGUAUCAAAUUAACCUAUUAAUAUUUGGAAAUGGUAAAGCAUAUUAAACCAUUUUCUGUGCAAGUGUUUCAUAUUUUUCUUUAUCUUAAAGUUUUACUUCCUCUGAUUGUUAAGGUUGUGUGUCAACUUGACUGGGCCAUGAUUCUCAGUAAUUUGGCAGUUAUAAUGUAGUUUGACCCAAGCCAUGGUAUUUUCAUUCGCAUCAUACACAUGUGAAAGCUGGACAAUGAAUAAGGAAGACCAAAGAAGAAUUGACACCUUUGAAUUGUGGUGUUGGCGAAGCAUAUUGAAUAUACCAUGGACUGCCAAAAGAACGAACAAAUCUGUCUUGGAAGAAGUACAACCAGAAUGCUCCUGAGAAGCAAGGAUGGCGAGACUGUGUCUUACGUACUUCAGAGAUGUUGUCAGGAGGGAUCAGUCUCUGGAGAAGGACAUCAUGCUUGGUAAAGUACAGGGUCAGUGGAAAAGAGGAGGACCUUCAACUUGGUGGAUUGACACAGUGGCUGCAACAGUGAGCUCAAGCCUAACAACAAUUGUAAGGAUGGCUCAGGACCAGGCAGUGUUUUGUUCUGUUGUGCACAGGGUCACUAUGAGUUGGAAUCGACUCGACGGCACCUAACAACAACGACAACAAUGUAGUUUGACAGUCAUAUAAUUACGUAAUCACUUCCAUGAUGAGAUCUGAUAUAAUGUGGCCACCUCUAAGAUGGGGUCUGCUGUGAGUAGCCAAUCAGGGGUGUGGCUUACGUCCAGUACAAGUAGACUUUAUGGCAAGGCUUAUGGUUUUGCUUGCUUUGAAUCCUGCAUCUGGCUCCUGUUCUUCUGGCCUUCGGUUCUUGGGACUUGAGCUCGCAGCUUACCUGCCAUCUUGCCCGCUGAUCUUGGGAUUCAUCGGUCUCCGCAGCCUUUGAGUCAGAAGAAGCCUCCAGUCUGACCCACAAACUUGGGACUUUUCAGCCUCUACAACUGUCCUUCCCCAAAGGUAUCUAUCACCUUUUACCAGAGUGACAUGUUGAUGCCCAUCUUCUAGAAGACCCCCUUCCUUGAUCUGAAGGCGACUGGAAUCAGCAAGUGGACGUGUUGGUACGCUCACUUGAGGUGGCCAACUGGGUCCAUGAAAUGAGCAGACAUGGGGGUACUGCGGCAAUGCAGAGAUGAGCUGAACCUAGACACAUUCCUUUUACAUGCUGAGGCAUAAAAAUGCCAAUAAGGACUGCUCUGACUGCCAGCAAGAAAGACAGAGGUUGCAGAUGGCUAUAGGGAGAAGACCCUCCACGUAGCUGGCAAGUUGAUUAUAUUGGACCAAUGACAUCAGUGGCACUGGGUGGCUACAAAUGGGUCCUCAUAGGAAUAGAUACUUACUCUGGACUAGGCUUUGCAUGGGGCCCUGUUGGCGCAGUGGUUCAGAGCUACCAAGAGGUCAGCGGUUUGAAUCCACCAGCCACUCCUUGGAAACCCUAUGGGGCAGUUCUGCUCUGUCCCAUAGGGUCGCUAUGAGUCAGAAUCAACUUGGCAGCAGUGGGUUUGGUUCUUUGGUCUUAUUCUUUUUUUUUUUGGUUGGCCUGCAUAUCCUGUGAUAGAUGCAAAUGUCAAGAACACCAUUAAGUGAUUGGAACACAAGAUACUGUACCAAUUUAGGCCACUGAGUUAUACUUUAUCAACCAAGGAACACACUUUACAGCCCACAGGGUGCAGCAGUGGGCCAAGAAACAUCAUAUUAAAUGGACAUACUGUGUUGUAUACCACCCUCAGACUAACGGUUUGAUAGAGAAUUGGAAUGGGCAACUGAACAUUUGUUAUCCAAAAUGGGAGGAGAUACAGGCAUGAAGGGCUGACUCUCACACCUUCAUGAGUGUGUGCUCACACUCAACAUGAGGUGGACAAAGGGAGGAUCUCCACUGGACAGAUUCCUACAUUUCUCUGGGGGAUCUGGGGAAGAUGCUGGGGCCAUUAUACAGUUUUUCCUCACAUCACCUAAAAUUGCUUUUUUUUUUUCUGCCGGAUGCUACGAUCCCAUGGCCAGGGAUGCAGCUGUGGGUGCUGGAAGCAGGGAUGAUCCCUAAGCAAGAGACGGUAACUAUACCCCUGAACCUGUAUUCCAGAAUUCCCAAGAGCCUGGUUGGGUGAAUUGUGACUCUCUCCAUCUGGCAAAAUUGGGGUUGACAAUGAAUACUGCUGUAUUGCCUAGUCGGUGAGAUAGCCUCUAGUGGUGUACCAAUGUAACCCUGCCCAACAUGAAUGGGAGUGGAAUGAGGGGGAAGCAUUGCUAGACUGGUCUUGGCUACCAGCAAUCUGGAUUGGCACAGCAUCUGAACCUGAUGUCCCUUCCCAAAGUAGAAAAAUUUGGGUAAAUGCCAAAUGACAGCUGAAGGUAAAGGAAUAAAUGAGUUAUGCAGUAGGCGAGAUCUAACAUUAUAGUGAAACCUUGAGAGAGACUCAGAGCAAGGGAAUAUCUUCUCUCAGUUAAGUUUUAUCAGAGGCCAGAGAUAAUGAAACCAAGACUUUUGGGGAACCUGACAAGAUCAGAUGGACAACUGAAGCAGACCCAGAUUGCUUAUACCUGAGUAACCUCACCCUGAGGUCUCUUCGCCCUAUUGAAGAACUAAUUGUUAAUGACUGUUUUAGACUAGUAAAAUGAUUGGGAGGGGAAAGUUAUUCUCCAAGUAUGAAGGAACCAUGGCUAGAAAAGCCAGGGGGUAGCCUGUGGUACAUUGGAUCACUUUUAUAUGGCCUUCCUCACCAUGGUCUCGUAAUUCCCACGGAAUGAUUGGGUGGGAGUGUGCAAAUAAGGUGCUGUGGCCCAUCAAGGGGAUUGAAUAGCUUGCUAAUAAUGCAAAAUAAGGUGCAUGGCACCUUUGUUGGAGGUGGAACCAAAAAAACCAAACCCACAGCCAUCAAGUCGAUUGUGACUCAUAGUGAUCCUGUAGGACAGAGUAGAACUGCCCCAUAGUUCCCAAGGAGCGCCUGGUGGAUUCUAACUGCUGACCAUUUUGGUUAACAGCUGUAGCACUUAACUGCCAUACCACCAGGGUUUCCUUGUGGGGGUAGGGCCAUGCAAAUAAGGUAUAUGGAACCCUAACAAAGAGAUUGGUCAGUUUUGCUAUCCUGCUAGGCUUAAAGGGAGACAUGGAAAAAGAGGGAGGAGGUGUAUCCGAAAGACAGGAAGAGAUGGUGGCAUGAGACAGCAGGAACCAGGAGACUGGCCGGGGGGCGCUGCAGCAGGGCUUGCUGACCCACAGAGCUAAGAGGUGUAACCCUUUGCCAAGGAGGGCCCCAGCAGGGCCUGGCACCAAAGGCAAGAAGAAGCUGUCCUGAUUGAGGAGCUGCAUCCAGAGGUUUUGUUCCUGUUACUUGCAAGUUGAUCCCAAUUCAAAGUCGUACCAUUUAUUCCCUAGUAAACCACUUAACUGUAAGUAUGGCCUGUGAGUUUUGUGAGAUGUCGCUGUGAAUUACCAAACCCAAAGCCAGAAGGGAGAGGACUGAGGGACAGGGAGUCGUUUGUUAGAGAUGAUGGAUGGUACAGCAGCUUGGAAAAUUGGGACAUUUGGGAUAUUUUCUACCUCCGCCUCGUAGGAACCAGCUUUGUGCUGAUCCUUAUAAAAGAAAUUAUUCAUUUAGUGUUCUUUAUGUACUGCUUUUUUCCUCACCAUUAUUUUUGUUAGAUUUAUCCAUAUUGUCCACCUAUAUUGUUACAUGUAGUCAUAGUUCUAAUUGUGAAUUUAUCACAAUUCAUUUAUCCAUUUUACUGUUGGAGAUGUGGGUCAUUGCCAGAUUUCGUGUACUGCUAAUAACACUGCCCACCAUGAGUCUGUUAGUCUGUUGUAUCGUGGUGGUGUGGCUGUUGAUUACUUCGUGUGGCCUUUCUAGCCAUGAUCUUGUAACUCCCACCCAGGUGAUUGGGCAGGACCACGUGAUAGAGUAAUUUUGGCCUACCAAGUGGAUUGGUCAGCUUUGCCUUAAAAGAUAGCCAACUCUAGAGCAGAGGGGAGGGUCCUACCGCCACCAAGGAAGAACAGUCAGGAGCGGAGAGUGCAUCUUUUGGACCCGUAAUCCCUGUGCUGAAAAGCUCCUGGAAGCAGGAGACUGAGAGAGAGAGCAAGAUGGUGAGAGAGAGAUGAAGAUGGUGAGAAGCCAUGGCAGGAGAGAGCUGGCAGCAGAUACCUGGCAGCAGGAGACAGCACAGUGGGCUUCCUGGCCCACAGAGAGAGAAAGCUGAGUGUCUUUGGGGAGAGGCCUAGGGCCAGGGAGAGGUGUGUCUGCGAGCAUGACUGGGAAGAGGCUGUCCUGAUGGACUAACUGUAUCCUGAGUCUUCCUGAGCAUGAAUUGUAACUAUUACUUCCCUAAUAAUCCCCCAUAAUCCUGAGUAUGAUCUGUGAGUUCUCUGUGGCCACUGCAGUGAAUUAUUGAACCCAGCAGAGAAGUGUAGAGUGCUGUGGGGGGGACGGUUGGUAUCAGAAUUAAUAAAGAUGAGAGAGAGGAGGCUUGUCUGGUCUCUACUUCCUGAGUUAGCUUUUGCUGUUGAUCUUGGUUCUUCUUUCCCCUUGUGGGGUUGGAGGAGGUCGGACACUGCCCCAUGAUGUUUUUAAUCAUGUCACAAGUGGGACUCUUUGCAAUGGCUCCAGACUCAUGAAAACAUAGAAUUUUGUAAGAGAAAGAACGAAGGGGCUUGGGAUGUGAAACUUGGUUCUUGGACGAUUGCUUUGGUUGCUGUUACUUGUAGUGGCUGAAAAGGUGCAGCUGGAGUGGGCUGGGGCCAAAGCCAGGCCAGAUAAGCAGGAUGAUUGAUAAAGGGGCCGGGGUCUACAGUUUCCACCCAGCCAGAGGCCCAAGGCCAUAUGCAUAUGAAUGGGAAGAUAGUUAAGGUGUAGAGAAGAUUAAGCUGGAAUAUUUUAAUAGGGUUCUGUGUUUAGGGUUAUGCAUUUAUCUGAAUAUACUAUGCAUAUUCAAUGUUUCUUCUACCUAAUGUUGUAAAGCAGACCUACAUGUACCCUAGAAAUGAAUAUUGGAUAUUAUAGAUUACAGAGAGCAUGUAACUUCGCCUUCAGCCAAUACCUGAUUGGAUAUGCUAAAAGGGGAAAUAGCAUUUGCUCAAGGGGAACACAGGCUGUUGGUUUGAAUGCAGUAGCCCUGUGUAUAGAGUGGGGCUGUAGGCCAAACCCUGAGCCCACCCAAAUCUGCCUUUGAAAAGACUUGCAUAACCACCCAGAGCUGUCAAGAGAAUGGAAGAUUAGCAUUUGAAGGAAGAACUUACAGAAAAAAAAGUGGCUGUUUUGUUUAAUUUUGAGCAAGUGGCUUGUUGUUGGAUGCAUCUAGGCAGGAAAAGUCAGUGCCCAUUGUAGGGAACCCUCUUCCAGGACUGUAAGUUAAAGGGAGCUUGCUUGUGGUGACCACCUGGAAGUGGGGGAAGUACAGCAAUGAAGAGACCAAGAGACAAAAGGGCCACAUAAACCAGAGACUCCAUCAGCCUGAGACCAGAAGACCUAGAUGGUACCUGGCUACCACCAGUGACAGCCCUGACAGGGAACACAACAGAGAGUCCCUGAUGGAACAGGAGAAAAGUGGGGUGCAAUACUCAGAUUCAUACAAAAAGACCGGACUUAAUGCUCAGAAACUGGAAGAACCCUCGAAGCCAUGGCCCCUGGAUGUUCUGUUAACCCAGAACUAAAACCAUUCCUUAAGUCCACUCUUCAGACAAAGAUUAGACUUGUGACCCCAAUACCACCCAGCAUGUUUUCUUCUUUUUCAAAAUGGGCAACUGAGAUCUUAACAUAACUAAAACCCAGACCAGUGCUGUGGAAGGCCAUGAUAAACCUAUAAGUUGUUCUUCCUCUGCCUGCCUCUUUCACAUACCUCUGUUAAUGACUUUGUUUUGACCAAAUGUUAAUGACUUUGUUCUUUGUUUUAAACUGAUGCAAAUAGCCUUUUGUUCUGUAGGGACUACCUGUGGCAUACAACCCCCCACAGGAAAGUUGGAGCCCAGGUAUCAGAUAUGUAUGUCUUUAGCCUAAUAAACUCAGAGGCACUGGUUUUACUGGGGAGCCUAAUAAAGAAAUGUCUGGCAGGGGACUACAAAGACACUUGUAAGCCUUAUUAAGAUUCUCUAUAAGCUCUCUAAUGUAAAACUGCUCUUUGGGACUGCAUAGAGACUGUGUUGCUGCCGGGUCCCUGGUGAUGCAUGCAUCUCCUUAGUAAACUUUCCCACUCUUUCUUACUUGGAGUAUGUUUCAUUGGCUCGACUGCUCCAGGGCACGGACCUUAAUCGGGUAACAGCCUGGACUAUAAAACAGAAUACUUAUGAAGAGUGUGCUUCUUAGAUCAAGCAGAUAUACAAGACCAAAUGGGCGGCUCCUGUCCAGAGGCAGGAUGAGAAGGCAGAAAGGACAGGAGCUGGUUGGAUGGACACGGGAAGCCCAAGGUGGGAAGAGUAUGCUGUCACACUAUAAGGAUUGCAACUAGUGUCACAUAACAAUAUGUGUAUAAUUUUUGUAUGAGAAAUUAACUUGACCUGUAAACUUUCACCUAAAGCACAAUUUUUAAAAAAGAGAGACAGGCUGAGUUUGGACAAGUUCCGUUAGCAUCCAUUGACCUAGCCUGCAGGGGCUAGGGUUGAGAGAGAGAGGAAGGGCUGGCUGGUCAGAAAUAAAGGGAGUUGUGUGUGGACUCCUGAGUUUAUGGGUCGAAUCCGUUGACCCAGCCCAAGGGGGCUAGGGAUGAGUGUGUGAAGGGGCUGUCUGAAGCCCCAGGAGGUGUGUGUGAACUCUCAAGCCUAAAGCUGCUACCCAUUGUGACCUAGCUUGGAUGGCCAGGGAUGAGCUGACCAGAACCCUACGGAAUGAAGGAACGAUGUUUGACAUUGUGAGCUGACGUAGAUUGCUGCAGUUUUAUGGCUUGCCCUGGACUUUGCUUGUGGAUGCACGUGCUCAAAGCUCCAACUGGAACUGAAGAUUCUUCAAGACCAAAGAACGUGCUUUUCUUCUCAGAGUACUGGUUGAUAAAAAAAAAAAAAAAAAAAAACCAGUGCCGUCGAGUCAAUUCCAACUCAUAGUGACCCUAUAGGACAGAGUAGAACUGCCCCAUAGAGUUUCCGAGGAGCGCCUGGCAGAUUUGAACUGCAGACCCUUUGAUUAGCAGCCACAGCACUUAACCGCUGAUAGGCACAGGCAAUUUAAACGUUUGCUGUCUACAAUGGGGGGAGCUAAAGGCAUAAGUGGCUGGCUUACAGGCUUCUGUGAAUGUGCUUAUAUUAAAUGAGGAGACCAGGGAGGAUCCCCACUGAAUAGAUUGCUCGUUUCCUGAUGGGUCUGGGAAGAGAAGGUGGGAGAAGUUGUUGAUAGGAUUAUAUGAUUCAGUUGUGAGCACUGAUUGUUAACAGGGCUAAUUGUGAUUGUAAAAUCUUUAAUUGUAGAAGCUGUAAGUAUAAAAGAGUAGACUGAGGGGUAGGCACUGCUAGAUUAAAGUAUAGCGGCCGAACCUUAAGUCCCUUAAAGGUUUUGCUGUGUUGAUACCUCGUGAGGCUCAAAGCAAGGGAAUAAUCUUGUCUUUUAGUUAAAUGUUAUCAGAGGCUAUAAAGGAUGAAGCCGAGAGGAACUGCUGGAGAGCUGACCAGAUCACAUGGACACCUGCAGCAGGCCUGAAUGGCUGAUACCUGAAUAACCUCAUCCUUAGGACUUUUUGCACUACUGCAGGACUGUUACUGUUUUGGACUGGUAACAACAACAAAUAAUACUGCCAUGAACAGUCUGGUACAAGUAUUUUGGUAAACAUAUGUAUGCAUUUGUGAUGAGAGUAGGAAUGCUGUGUCAUGGAAAAUGCAUGUUUGACAUUAGUAGAUACUGCCAAAUAGUUUUCCAGUGUGUUGUACCAAUUUACACUCCUCUGGGAAGCAGGACCCAGGGUGGUGGUGGGGGGGGAAGGGGCUGUUAUUUUUCAUUAGAAACUUUGCUGUAUUUUACCAAUUGGAUUAGGUUUUGCAACAUAUACCAGAAAAAAAAAAUAAAGUCAUCUAAACAAGAUAGAUGUUUAUUUCCUUUCUCACAUAUAAGGAGUCCCUAGGCAAGCUGGUGUGACGGCCCCAUG